UACGUAGGCAGCAAGCGUUGUUCGGAGUUACUGGGCGUAAAGAGUGCGUAGGUGGUGCCCUAAGUCUGUUGUGAAAUCUCCCGGCUUAACUGGGAGGAUGCGGUGGAAACUGGGGUGCUUGAGUGUGGGAGAGGUAAGCGGAAUUCCUGGUGUAGCGGUGAAAUGCGUAGAUAUCAGGAGGAACACCGGUGGUGUAGACGGCUUACUGGACCACGACUGACACUGAGGCACGAAAGCGUGGGUAGCAAACAGG
rnacentral:rRNA from 1 species